CUGGCGAGAAGAGCAGGUUUUUAGUUCUUUCUGUUGACGUUUGUUCUCAUGCGUAAAUAUUUUAUUAUGAUAUCUAUAUUUCCAGAUAUAUCGCUGAAUCGGUAUCGUGCCAAAUUAUAAUUGGCACAAUUUGAUUUUGGUGUCAUCGAUUUUCCGUCUACAUUUGAAUACUCACCGAAAAAUGAUCCCCAUACAAUGUUGUUUGUCCCCAUUGGACGAAAUUCAUUUCGUUGUGACGGAUGUAUUCUGUAACCAAUUUACAAUUAACAAAUACACCAAAUUCUGUCUGAAUUGUACGGUCAGUUUCGUUUACCUAUUCCAAUAUUAUUUGAAAAUUGUCUCAUGUUUUUCGUUAGCUUAUGUUAGUUAAGCGUGGGGGCGUAAGAGGAAUUUUUUUUUCAUUUUGGUCCAAUGACGGUGGCGAGAAUGAUGAAUUAGGCUACACAUUUUUUUUUCGGCGCGACUGCGCGGACAAAAUAGACUUUGUAGCUGAACAUAAUUUGAGAAAUGUUUUAAAAAAAUUGCACCAGAGGAUUCUUCGGCUUUGUCAUCAGCCAAUAUUUCAACAACAUUUCCACAUUUUCCAGGUUUUGUUUCUUCUCUUAAAAAAAAAACUUCUACAAAUUUUUAAGAAUUCAUGUAAAAUUUUGGAUAAAACAGUGUAUAAAUUAAUAUACCUUGGACCCCAGGAUUUUGUAUAAAGUUAGGUAUCGUAGGCUGAUUGCCUUUUUCUUCUUACCCUUGAAUUUCAAGAAAGUCAAGAAAAUCAGGCCUUAACUUUAACGCAACUCGGACGUUGCGAAGCGGCAAGCGUUACUGUGUUCUCCCUCGUUUAUAAAAGGGAGGAGCCCACAUUCAAUUAGAUUUUUAUUUAUAGGAUUUCUUUAAUUUAUUUACCUCUAGUUAAGUAGCUAAGCUGGAAUGGGAGUUCAGUGAAUUUUUUCGGCUAAAAUAGACUUCAAUCCUGGGAAGAUUCCCGUUGAAUUUUGGGAGACACACUAAUACCUAAAACAAGUAAGAAUAAA